rnacentral:rRNA from 1 species
GAGUUUGAUCGUGGCUCAGAGUGAACGCUGGCGGCAGGCCUAACACAUGCAAGUCGAACGGCAGCACAGCAGUAGCAAUACUGUGGGUGGCGAGUGGCGGACGGGUGAGGAAUACAUGGGAAUCUGCCCUGUCGUGGGGGAUAACGUAGGGAAACUUACGCUAAUACCGCAUACGACCGAGAGGUGAAAGCGGCGGACCGCAAGGCGUCGCGCGAUUGGAUGAGCCCAUGUCGGAUUAGCUAGUUGGCGGGGUAAAGGCCCACCAAGGCGACGAUCCGUAGCUGGUCUGAGAGGAUGAUCAGCCACACUGGAACUGAGACACGGUCCAGACUCCUACGGGAGGCAGCAGUGGGGAAUAUUGGACAAUGGGCGCAAGCCUGAUCCAGCCAUGCCGCGUGAGUGAAGAAGGCCUCGGUUGUAAG